UAGUCCUAGCCGUAAACGAUGGAAACUAGGUGUUGGACAAUAGUUCGGCGCCGCAGCUAACGCGUUAAGUUUCCCGCCUGGGGAGUACGGUCGCAAGACUGAAACUCAAAGGAAUUGACGGGGGCCCGCACAAGCGGUGGAGCACGUGGUUUAAUUCGAUGCUAACCGAAGAACCUUACCUGGACUUGACAUGGUAGGUGGUACUUUCUCUGAAAGGAGAGGGGACCCUUUUUAACCAAGGGAGUCUAUCACAGGUGCUGCAUGGCUGUCGUCAGCUCGUGUCGUGAGAUGUUGGGUUAAGUCCCGCAACGAGCGCAACCCUUACCCUAUGUUACCAGCGGAUAAUGCCGGGGACUCUUAGGGAACUGCCCAGACAACUGGAGAAGGUGGGACGACGUCAAGUCAUCAUGGCCCUUAUGUCCAGGGCUACACACGUGCUACAAUGGCCGGUACAAAGGGCAGCUAACUCGCAAGAGCAUGCAAAUCCCAGAAAGCCGGUCCCAGUUCGGAUUGCAGGCUGAAAUUCG
rnacentral:rRNA from 1 species